rnacentral:rRNA from 1 species
CAGUCGCCGCGGGAAUACAGAGGGUGCGAGCGUUAAUCGGAUUUACUGGGCGUAAAGCGUGCGUAGGCGGCUUCUUAAGUCGGAUGUGAAAUCCCUGAGCUUAACUUAGGAAUUGCAUUCGAUACUGGGAAGCUAGAGUAUGGGAGAGGAUGGUAGAAUUCCGGGUGUAGCGGUGAAAUGCGUAGAGAUCUGGAGGAAUACCGAUGGCGAAGGCAGCCAUCUGGCCUAAUACUGACGCUGAGGUACGAAAGCAUGGGGAGCAAACAGGAUUAGAUACCCCAGUAGUCCCUGUCUCUUAUAC